GAACGCUAGCUACAGGCUUAACACAUGCAAGUCGAGGGGCAGCAUCAUCAAAGCUUGCUUUGAUGGAUGGCGACCGGCGCACGGGUGAGUAACACGUAUCCAACCUGCCGACAACACUGGGAUAGCCUUUCGAAAGAAAGAUUAAUACCGGAUGGCAUAGUUUUUCCGCAUGGGAUAAUUAUUAAAGAAUUUCGGUUGUCGAUGGGGAUGCGUUCCAUUAGGCAGUUGGCGGGGUAACGGCCCACCAAACCAACGAUGGAUAGGGGUUCUGAGAGGAAGGUCCCCCACAUUGGAACUGAGACACGGUCCAAACUCCUACGGGAGGCAGCAGUGAGGAAUAUUGGUCAAUGGACGAGAGUCUGAACCAGCCAAGUAGCGUGAAGGGUGACUGCCCUGUGGGUUGUAAACUUCUUUUAUACGGGAAUAAAGUUAGCCACGUGUGGCUUUUUGUAUGUACCGUAUGAAUAAGGAUCGGCUAACCCCGUGCCAGCAGCCGCGGUAAUACGGAGGAUCCGAGCGUUAUCCGGAUUUAUUGGGUUUAAAGGGAGCGUAGGCGGGUUGUUAAGUCAGUUGUGAAAGUUUGCGGCUCAACCGUAAAAUUGCAGUUGAUACUGGCGACCUUGAGUGCAACAGAGGUAGGCGGAAUUCGUGGUGUAGCGGUGAAAUGCUUAGAUAUCACGAAGAACUCCGAUUGCGAAGGCAGCUUACUGGAUUGUAACUGACGCUGAUGCUCGAAAGUGUGGGUAUCAAACAGGAUUAGAUACCCUGGUAGUCCACACAGUAAACGAUGAAUACUCGCUGUUGGCGAUAUACGGUCAGCGGCCAAGCGAAAGCAUUAAGUAUUCCACCUGGGGAGUACGCCGGCAACGGUGAAACUCAAAGGAAUUGACGGGGGCCCGCACAAGCGGAGGAACAUGUGGUUUAAUUCGAUGAUACGCGAGGAACCUUACCCGGGCUUAAAUUGCAACUGACUGAACCGGAAACGGUUCUUUCUUCGGACAGUUGUGAAGGUGCUGCAUGGUUGUCGUCAGCUCGUGCCGUGAGGUGUCGGCUUAAGUGCCAUAACGAGCGCAACCCUUAUCGAUAGUUACUAGCAGGUCAUGCUGAGGACUCUAUUGAGACUGCCGUCGUAAGAUGUGAGGAAGGUGGGGAUGACGUCAAAUCAGCACGGCCCUUACGUCCGGGGCUACACACGUGUUACAAUGGGGGGUACAGAAGGCAGCUACACGGCGACGUGGUGCUAAUCCCGAAAGCCUCUCUCAGUUCGGAUUGGAGUCUGCAACCCGACUCCAUGAAGCUGGAUCCGCUAGUAAUCGCGCAUCAGCCACGGCGCGGUGAAUACGUUCCCGGGCCUUGUACACACCGCCCGUCAAGCCAUGAAAGCCGGGGGUACCUGAAGUGCGUAACCGCAAGGAGCGCCCUAGGGUAAAACUGGUGAUUGGG
rnacentral:rRNA from 1 species